rnacentral:lncRNA from 1 species
GGGACACCCCCGGCUGACCCAGAAUCUGGAGAGGGAUGAGGCGGCAGGGGGACCAGGCUAGCAUGAGGCCUCUGAGUCUUCUCAGCGCCGGGACCACGGGCCGGGUCCUGGAGGUUACCAGGCCUGUGAGAUUGGAGGCAGAGACAUGAUAAUCAUCCCAGAAGAGCUUGGCCCUAGGAGUCUUGGGUACACAGCACAGCCAGAGAGAAACAAGAACCUGACUCAAAAAGAUGGAAGAUGAGAAUGACUCCUGCAGUUUGUUCUCUGGCCUUCACAGGUGUGCUAUGGCAUGUACACACACACAUUUAAA